GAGUGUACUGUCCCCUGUCUGUGCAAGCAGUCCAACAGUAACUAAGAACCUUAUGUAGAUGUCAAAUUGUCUGAUUAUCUGCACCUUAAUAGCCAUGAUGUUGGACUCAUUCCAGUGCACUAAGCAUGCUGGGAAGUGUCCUUGACAGUGGACCAAUUACUGAUAUAUCAUUUGCAAGUGGAUUGUUGUUGCAGGGCACUCAUGACUCUGGGUCAAUCACAGAUGAGACAGGACAGAGAAGUGGUUGAAGCAGUGCAGGAAGAGUUGAACAUCAGUGUAAGGACUCUACACCAUUAACUUUCCCAUCUGGAAGACAGUCACAUCACAUACAGAUCUAACUGACCAACAGAGCACAAUCAUGGGGCGAUGGAUAUCAUGAUUCCAGGUCCAUCCAAAAUCCAUGAUUCUGCAUGCACGGUUUUAGCAUGAAUAUUCAUGAGGAUUAAUGAUGUUUUAAAUUGGAUGUUUUUUAUUGGAUAAUUACCUCCUAGAGGAUUAUAAAAGGCAUUAAUUGUUCUCUGACCCACAUCUGAUGAAGUGAUUCAAAUGAAAACGCUGGUUUUAAUGUGUGCGUUUAUGUGCUUUUGUGCUUAAAUUAAAGUUGGAUUUUAAAAGAA